AGCUACUCCUAGUAAAUCUGAGUUUCCCAUCGUAAAACAAUACACUUGAUCCUUACCUCUCGUUACUCCAGCUAAUUUGUAGAGCAAUUUUUCACCCACAACGCUCAUUUCCACACCCGGAAACAUCAAUGUUACUGGUGGCAACUUCGGUAGUAUUGUACGAGUCGACUCGACUAAGUAACACAAGUCCAUCGCCCCCUGGAACACAAAAUUCGGGUCGUUCAAGACUCUCAACACGCCUUUGGUUUGUUUAAUGAACUCAUUUUUUAAUGCGGUGUAAGCCGGGCCAAG
rnacentral:misc_RNA from 1 species